GCUGGGGUUGGGGCUCAGUGGCAGAGCGCUUGCCUCCCACACAUGAGGCACUGGGUUUGAUCCUCAGCUCCACA
rnacentral:tRNA from 1 species